rnacentral:rRNA from 1 species
AACUGAGACACGGUCCAGACUCCUACGGGAGGCAGCAGUAGGGAAUAUUGCUCAAUGGGGGAAACACUGUAAGACACACGCCGCGUGGAGGAUGAAGGUUGUAGGAUUGUAAACUCCUUUUGUUAGAGAAGAUAAUGACGGUAUCUAACGAAUAAGCACCGGCUAACUCCGUGCCAGCAGCCGCGGUAAUACGGAGGGUGCAAGCGUUACUCGGAAUCACUGGGCGUAAAGAGCGCGUAGGCGGGAUAGUCAGUCAGGUGUGAAAUCCUAGGCUUAACCAUAGAACUGCAUUUGAAACUACUAUUCUAGAGUGU